UCUAUAGUUUUGGAAAACCAUGAGCAGGGA
rnacentral:piRNA from 1 species